UGUCCUGGUGCGCCUGCUAGUAAACGACGGCAUCGGACCAGAGGAACUGCAGCUCCUCACCUCCCGCGUCAGGACGGUCCAGAAACCCCAGACGUCCCGUCGCCUUCUCGCCUCUUUCGCUGAGAGCUGCAGAUCAGUUCACGUUGACAGAUUAGAGGGAAAAUGUGCAAAUGUUUAUGGGGAACACCGGAUUUAUUCAGAGCUCAUGAUGUGUCGUGGCACUGUGGUAGGCACUAGUGACAUCAGAAAGAGUGCUUUAACAUUGAAGUUCCCCAAAGGAUUCUGCAUCUGUUGCUGAAGACAGUCACGGAAGGCAAUGUCUGGGCCGUGCCAGUUGUGAUCUCUAGAGUGAAUGACUAGAAGCUGUCCUGCUCCAGCUUUCUGCUACUCCCAGCAACGCAUCAGUCAGAGAGAGAAAAAGAGAGAGAGUCUCAAUCAGCCUCCACAUACAUGCAACCCAACAUGAUCUUACGACCCGGAGAUCAUGACCUGAGCCAAAAUCAAGAGUCAGACGCUUAACUGACUGAGCCACCCAGCCGCCCCCAAGAUCCUGUUCUAACGCUUCCACCUCCACGAAGUUUUUCCUGAUCUCCCCAGCUCAGAGCCAUCUCUCUCCCAGCUCCCAGGCACUCAGAGAUAAUCCAGGUGGAAUUGUGUAUAUCAUCCUAGUUGAUGAGGGAAAACUCAUCUUUAGAAAAGAAUACCAACGAAGGAGGGAUUGUAUUUGAAAGUCACUAUUUUGCAACCCCCAAUGAAAUAAUUGAUUCAAGCAAGGAUCAUCAAUGGUGAAAGAGUAUUUCAGAACAUAUUCACACAGUGACAAAGUGUCAUCACACAGGUGACUUGCAAGGAAGCAAUCUGGUUUUCCAAAUGCAGCAAGCGCGUCAAGUCCUCUACCUGCUGGGUUCAGGUGAAGCAACCCUCAGUAAAGUCACCUCUGCUGUCCCAGGGUCUAUUUCUCAGAAUCUCUUCAAAAUUCACACUAGGAAAAGAGGAGAGCAGGAUGCUUAAAGAAGAGGAUGAAUACUGACCAGGAGAUGGGGAGGAUAAAACCCCAUUAAGUCUGUAUUUUAAAAUCUCAUUAAUCUUCACUUUUUAUGAAGUAUAAUUUGAAGAGAUAUAGUUCUUUUCAGAAAGCAAGUUGUGAGGCACUUGGAGGUUAGUUCACCCAAGGGGAUGCUGAAAAUCAUACUUGAAUUGUCAGUCAUUCCAGAAAGCAAAAUUCAAGUACUAAAGAGUGAGUCUGUAAUAGAAGUCCCCGGGCAAAGAAAGAUCGUUGCUUCCUCCCAAGGUCAUCUGGUAUGGGAGUAAGGGGGUUCGAAGAAAAUGUGUCAUUGAUGGUUUAAUAAUAUUUGACCUGAGAGAUUUUUCUAAUUUUAAUUUUUUUUACAUAGAAAACCCAGACUGUCUUAAACCUGCUAAGUGAUAUAUGUGGGUUAAAACUGCAUGGAACAACAUUCCAUACACUUUCUAAUCACCUCAAUGUUUGCAAGUACUGUGUAUCUCCAUUAAAAUAUAUGUUUACGUUA